rnacentral:rRNA from 1 species
GACGAACGCUGGCGGCGUGCUUAACACAUGCAAGUCGAGCGGAGCGGCGAACGGGUGAGUAACGCGUGAGUAACUGCCCCCCUCCCUGGGAUAACAGUUGGAAACGGCUGCUAAUACCGGAUAGUGGGGGAUGACUCGCGUCCUAUCAGCUUGUUGGUGGGGUAGUGGCCUACCAAGGCGACGACGGGUAGCCGGCCUGAGAGGGCGACCGGCCACAUGGGGCUGAGAUACGGCCCAAACGCGUACGGGGGGCAGCGGUGGGAAGUAUGGCGCAACGGGGCAGCCCCUGAGGCAGAAACGCGGGUGCGGGAUGACGGCCUACGGGUUGUAAACCGCUUUCAGCCAUGACGCGGUAGUGGCAGAAGAAGCACCGGCUAACUACGUGCCAGCAGCCGCGGUAAUUC